GGAGACAUAGCUCAGCUGGGAGAGCGAGCGACUGAAGUUCAGUCAUCAGAUUCAAGUCUUGUCUUGGGUUUAUCGCUAGGUCGGGUGUUCAAUCCACUCUGGCUCCA